rnacentral:rRNA from 1 species
UACGUAGGUGGCGAGCGUUGUCCGGAUUUACUGGGCGUAAAGAGCGCGCAGGCGGUCGUUCAAGUCGCGUGUGAAAGCCCCCGGCUCAACUGGGGAGGGUCACGCGAUACUGUUCGACUCGAAGGCAGGAGAGGGAAGUGGAAUUCCCGGUGUAGUGGUGAAAUGCGUAGAUAUCGGGAGGAACACCAGUGGCGAAGGCGACUUCCUGGCCUGUUCUUGACGCUGAGGCGCGAAAGCUAGGGGAGCAAACGGG